rnacentral:rRNA from 1 species
UACGGAGGGUGCAAGCGUUAUCCGGAUUCACUGGGUUUAAAGGGUGCGUAGGCGGCAUGGCAAGUGGAUGGUGAAAUCCCUCGGCUUAACCGAGGAACUGCCGUCCAAACUGCUUCGCUUGAGACCGGGAGAGGUGAGUGGAAUUCCCAGUGUAGCGGUGAAAUGCGUAGAUAUUGGGAGGAACGACCAGUGGCCGAAGGCGGACUCACUGGACCGGUACUGGACGCUGAUGCGCGAAGCGUGGGGAGCAAACGGGG